GUUGACACGCAUGGUUUUCGGUAUGCGAAUCUCAUUGUCUCUGUUGGUUCGCGGGUUAAUUUACAUAGAUGACGAAAGAAAAUUAAAAGUUAUUAUUAGUUAAUUGGAUUGUCACAGGCAAAGCAGUUGACGAAUUUUAGUAACGGUGAUCUUUAUAUGGAUUAAACAUAAUUAGAACGAUAAAUUCAAGAUACACGUUCGUUUCGUCUAGAUCCAAUAUACUCAGGUGUUUAGUGUAAGUACGUGUUAGUGUAGUCUAAUAAUCCGUUUAAUAUAAUGACCCUAUUUUCGUUACCCGUCUAUCUAGAUUAGUGUUUUACAAUCUUUUUUUACUCAACGAUCCUUUUAGAUUU